UGCGAACGCUGGCGGCGUGCUUAACACAUGCAAGUCGAGCGAAGGUGUUUCAAGGGUAACCUUGAGAUACACUUAGCGGCGGACGGGUGAGUAAUACGUGGAUAACUUACCUCUAGGCCUGGGAUAACCCCGGGAAACUGGGGCUAAUACCUGAUAAGACCACAUUGUCUACGGACAAAGGGGUAAAAGGUGGCUGUGCAAACAGCUAUCGCCAAAAGAUAGGUUCACGUCCCAUCAGGCAGUUGGUGAGGUAAUGGCUCACCAAACCAAAGACGGGUAGCCGGCCUUGGCGGGUGAACGGCCACACGGGGACUGAGGCACGGGCCCCGACUCCUACGGGAGGCAGCAGUGGGGAAUAUUGGGCAAUGGGCGCAAGCCUGACCCAGCGACGUCGCGUUGGGGAAGAAGGGCCUUCGGGUUGU
rnacentral:rRNA from 1 species